rnacentral:rRNA from 1 species
UACAGAGGGGGCAAGCGUUAUUCGGAAUUAUUGGGCGUAAAGGGCGCGUAGGCGGUUGGAUAAGUCAGCUGUGAAAACCACGGGCUUAACUCGUGGCCUGCAGUUGAGACUGUCUGGCUUGAGUGUGGGAGAGGAGAGUGGAAUUCCUGGUGUAGCGGUGAAAUGCGUAGAUAUCAGGAGGAACACCGGUGGCGAAGGCGGCUCUCUGGACCACAACUGACGCUGAGGCGCGAAAGCUAGGGGAGCAAACAGG